AUUUUGGAAACAAUACCGCACCGUGCGGAGUGGCCUCCUCCCGCCCCGGCCUGUGCCCGCCGCCGCCGCCGCCCCUGCCUGCGCCUCCCGCCUCCUGCCGCAGCCCGCUGGGCUUUUUCCCUCCUUCCCAAUCGAGUCUGGGCGUCCAGCCCCCGAGUGCUCGUCACGCUGGACCCUGGCGCGGAGCCCUGGCAUCACGACUCGGAGGCCGAGACUCUCUCCUGGAGUCACCCAGGUACCCUGCAUGCAUAUAGCUGCUGAUUCUACUCCUGCUAUUGCUCACAACCCUCAGAGUCAAACUUUGUGACCGGCCUAGGUCAGAAAACGUGAUCAAGAAAAAGGGUGGUUCCAGGCGGGCCCAGGGAAGAGGAGAGAUGGAGCCAUCUCAGUGUGUGGAGGAGCUGGAGGAUGAUGUGUUCCAACCAGAGGAUGGGGAGCCGGUGACCCAACCCGGGAGCUUGCUCUCUGCUGACCUGUUUGCCCAGAGCCUACUGGACUGCCCCCUCAGCCGACUUCAGCUCUUCCCUCUCACCCACUGCUGUGGCCCUGGCCUUCGACCCACCAGCCAGGAAGACAAAGCUACCCAGACUCUCAGCCCAGCCUCCCCCAGCCAAGGUGUCAUGCUGCCUUGUGGGGUGACUGAGGAACCCCAGCGACUCUUUUAUGGCAAUGCUGGCUAUCGGCUUCCUCUCCCUGCCAGUUUCCCAGCAGUCUUGCCCAUUGGGGAGCAGCCCCCCGAAGGGCAGUGGCAACAUCAAGCAGAGGUACAGAUUGCCCGAAAGCUUCAGUGCAUUGCAGACCAGUUCCACCGGCUUCAUGUGCAGCAAGCAGCUCUCUGAUGAUGCUGAGGCUGCUAGUCCAUGGACCACCCUUUGAGAAGCAAGGAUGCAGAACACACAGAACAGAGCCUGGCACCUCCCCACCCCCGACUGCCACCCUAACCCCACGUUACUAUUAUGAGGUGAUGAUUGUUCUUGCCACCGGUCUUCUCAGACAAGCACCUCAGGAGAACUGGAAUUCCAGCAGACUGGCCUCUCCAGGGAUGAGUCUGCUCCUGGAUUCUCCUCUUGUUCGGCCACAUGACCUCUGCACCUGUCUCGCACCAGCAGAACCAAAAUCGUGUGUGGUGGCAGAUCCUCCUCUUCCUGCACAACCUUGCUUUGAAUGGAGAAGAGAACAGGAACGGGGCAGGCCCUAGGUGAGGGUGGGCUGCCCUCUUCACAUGGGGCACCAGGAACACCGUCUGGAACAGGAAGGACAUCGGGCAGGACUGACACUGUGUCUUGUGAAAUUGUUUUUUUGUUGUUAUUUUGUGUUUUAAUUUUUUUUAAUUUCUCUCUGAGUGUACAUACAACAUACUCAAGCGGGACCUUCUUUCUCUGUCAGGCCCUUGACCUGGAAUGGGGGCCUUUGUCAAACACUGUUGAAGGAGAGGCUGAUGUGUCUGUGAUGGUGAGAAUUCCCAAGGGCUCUGACAAGUAGAUUCUUCGACUGAGGAAUCUACCAGUUGUCGAAGAUGAUCCGUUAGUGAUGUUCUCUGGGAAGUGGACUGUGGUUUUUCCAGAGGAACUCAGUUAAGAAAUCGAGAGUGGAUUAGACUCCCAGUUCCACCAAACCUAUGAGCCUUCCACUGUGGAUGGGGGCCGUGAUCCUGAUGGUCACAUUGCUUUAACCCAGCAGGGCUUCGGCCAGGGGCUUUCCACUUGAGGAUAGCAGCUUCACUAGGCUGGCCGGCCAGCUCCACAUCUGACUGGGUUCUUACUUCUCAGCCAGUACCUGCCCCAUGGGCUCAAGGAUUCCUGGCCAGCUCCUGCCACCUCCAGCAGACCUCAGGGAGGGUUGAGUUUCUCUAAGGACCCCUCAAACAUGUCGCAAAAUGAACCAAACUUCUGGCUAGGCCUCAAAACUGACUUGGUCCCACUUGGAGGCCCCAGGAUUGGUCCUGAGGUACAGAGCCACUGCCACCACUGGCGGCCUGGGACCAGCUGGGUGUCAGCCACGGAUGAGCCGAAUAGCCAGUCAGCAUGUUGCUGCUGGCAGCCUGUGCCUUUGUCAGCUCUUCUUUCAAAAGACCCCACCGACAGACCGCAUUCCACCCCCAACAUCGGCACUGAGGGACAUCGGGGGCAAGUUUGCAGUGGGGCCGGAAAAUAUGGUGGCCACCCUACCAUGAGAGUCAGCCGUAGGGGACCCCAGACCCCUUGGUUUCCUUGGAAACAACAUACCUCUUCCCCCUUAUCCCCAGUCCUUUUUCAUACCUAGUGGGAUACAGAAGAAGCCAGGACAGUGGCUUUGCCAGCUAAGUGACUUUUAGAGUAACAGAUAACGAUUAGAGUGGGGAACCGUCAAAGCUGGGUACACAUUUCCUAUCUUCCUCCAGCUUCCAGCUAGGCCAGAAGGGCAUGCUCUGGAACCCAGCAGGAUCACAGCUGCCUGUGCACGUCUUCCCUUCUCUCCCUGCUGCGGCACUUAUGGAGAGGAUCUAAAGCAGCCGGUGUGGCAGCUCCGAUAGCAGGCACAGGGAAUCUGUUAACCAGACGCUAGAAACUAAAUUAUAACUUUUGCAUAUGUGAGAAAAGACAACAUUGGUGCUAACAGUGAAGUAAGGCCCAAAGGAAAGACGGCUUCCCUGGACAAAGAAGACCUCAGGGCUACCCAAGGAAAUAGGAGGAGUCUAGAGUAGACUCACAAAUCUGAACAAGCCCAAGUCUUCCAGUUCUGAGGAGAGGAGGUCUUCAGUACUAUUGAAGGAGACAUUGAUCUUCUGGAUGUACAGUUGUGCAGGUUGUUCACUGCACAAGGGCACCUGCAGCUAAUGGAGGCUGGAAUUCAGCUUGUGUUCUGCUCACUAAGCUGUGUGCGUGCCCUGGUGUGGGGCUACUUCUCCCAAGAAGAAGGGGUGCCUUUCCUAAUUUGCAAAGGUGCCAUAUGGGCUCACAGCACCCUGGAGGAGAAGGGCCUCAAACUGUGCAUGUAAGCCUUUGUUUUGUUCUGCUCAGAUAUUCUGGAUAUUACCUCUUCUUGGUCAGAAUUCUAUUCUCAGGGUGUGUACCAUGAUUUGUCUGCUAAGAAGACGGGUUCCUGCUUUGCAGAGAAGGAGCCGGGGACCAGCUUGAAGACUGGCUCUGGGACACACUGACCAUUGUGAAAUUCAGCCUUCCCUGUGGGUCUCCAUACCAUUUUAUGAUGUGUAUGGGACAUACGUUGUUCUCCCCUCUCUGGAUCAAGGUGGUGACAGGCAGCCUGCUGCCGUAUGCUUCAGUGGCACACACCAAAAAACCGGGAUUAUUUACAGCAGCCACUAUUCACCCCUUUUGGCAGACUCUCCACCUGAGUUCAGUGAGAGAGAAAAUGAUUUAGAUCUUGGUGCUGGGGCAAGGCCAUCAGCUUCAGAGACCUUGCCAGGCCCAGGCUGGGUGCCCUGUGGCCUGAGAACUGAGCCCAGACUUUGACAAACCCACCUCAACAUCAAGCCUGGGGCAGGUGGAAGGUGGUCUGACUGCACUGUCUCCAUCUUAUGCAAAGCCAGGAACUCACUCACUGUCUUAAGUGAGCCAGGGCAAAAUUUACACCCCUCACGUUUCCCUCUCCCUUCUUCCCCACCAACAAAACCCAGGAGGUAGCUGGCAGAGUAGCUGUCAGGAAGGAGAAAGGUUCUUUCUGGCUGGUUGUUUUUAAUUGGCUUAGUGAUCUAAACUGGCCCCUUCCUCCUCUGCCUGGUGAGUUGGCCUAAACAUUCCUCAAGUCUAGCCUCAGGAGACCUGCCCCUCCCCCCCGACCUCCACCCCCUCAGACUCCAUCCCCCACCCCCAGGAGCCUGGCUGUCUCUAGCGAGGGGUGGAGAAUCAGAUUUAGAGGGAGGGAGAGUCUGACCUGGAUCCUGACCUGUAACCAGCUGAAGACGGUGGAGGCUUUGUGGCUUGCUGAGGGUGGGGGUUGGGAGAGGGACUGGAAACCUUCCUCCUCGGGAAAGAAAUGCCUGGGAGGAAGGGAAGCCUGAUAUUCAGGGUCAAAACAGCCCUUCUAAUUCACAACCCCAAAGCAGGGGUUUCUAGAAGUUGGUCAACAGAUCUGGUGAGGGAAGUCCCCAGGCCAGACGCUGGACUCCUGCAAUGAGGGUGGAGGACUCAGCCUGGCCUCUGCCUGGCCUGUUUCAAAGUCUGGGCCACUGGCAGCCUUCUCUUGCUCAAUCCGAGGUGGAAAAAGAUCACCUCCCAGUGACCUCCCUCAGCCCCCAGGGGAGUAGGUCUGUGUCCAAAGCUAUGUGGCAGGCUUGUUUGAAGGACCCAGAGGGGCCCAGCUGACCUGUCUCACUGCUCCUGGCAGCCCAGCCCCAUCGGCAGGUGGCCCCUGCCUGGGGGUUAUUCGGGAUGGUUCAGCCAGGGCCUCCCAGGAAGAGUGCUGUGGAGCCACGGUGACUGUCCUGGACAGCAAGGAGCAUGCUACCCCAGUGAGCACUUCUUUUUGAGGGACUUGAUGGGGAGGUGGGGUAGGCAGAAGGGACGUGGCAGAAGCGGGAAGACUUUGGUCACCAUGGCUCUGCAGGCCUUCUGCAAAUCAGUGCUGGCCUGGGCUGGAAACAGCUCUGUGUGUGAAGGUGAGGACUCUUGGAAGCAGGCCAUCCUGGCCAGACACCCUAGCAGGAAGGGGCUCACCUGUCACCCUUAGGCAGCCUGAGGGCUGGUGGGGACUUUUGAGUCUUGAGGGGAUAGCGGAAAAAGCUGAGCUCAUAGGUGCCCAGCCAGCCUCCCAGCUAAAGGUGCUCAGAGCCCCACUGCCCCCUCUCUCUGUGCAGGUGGCCAGUGCCCCUCCCUGCUCUGGGAGCAUUGCUAGCCUUCUACCCCAUCCCUGGAUCCACAGGGGCUAUCGAGGAGACCCAGUGAGAAUGUAGCAUUUUGUUCAUCCCCAGGGUAGCUGCCCUGGGGUCUGGGCACUCUGCCUCUGGGAGAGAGGAAGAAGAAAGGGGCCCCAUUUUUUAAAAAACUGUACAGAGCCUUUGGCUUUAUGUGUUUAUGUUCUUCACAUGCAUAUGUGUGUAUGUGUGUAUAUCUUUCCCCCCAUCAAUUGGUACAAUUUUUAAUAAAAUCAUUUAAAGCAAA